rnacentral:rRNA from 1 species
AUUGAACGCUGGCGGCAGGCCUAACACAUGCAAGUCGAACGAGUGGCGGACGGGUGAGUAAUGUCUGGGACACUGCCUGAUGGAGGGGGAUAACUACUGGAAACGGUAGCUACUACCGCAUUCCUUCAGCUGUGCCCAGAUGGGUUUAGCUAGUUGGUGGGGUAAAGGAUCACCAAGGCGACGAUCACUAGCUGGGCUGAGAGGAUGACCAGCAACACUGGAACUGAGACACGGUCAAGACGCCGACGGGAGGCAGCAGGGGGGAAUAUUGCACAAUGGGCGCAAGACUGAUGCAGCCAUGCCGCGUGUAUGAAGAAGGCCUUCGGGGUGUAAAGGACUUUCAGCGGGGAGGCGUUACCCGCAGAAGAAGCACCGGCUAACUCCGUGCCAGCCGCCGCGGUAAUUC